rnacentral:misc_RNA from 1 species
GUGAAUCAUCGAAUUUUUGAACGCAAAUUGCGCUUCCUGGCAUCCCGGGAAGUAUGCCUGUUUGGGGGUCAGUAUUAAUAAAAAAUCGGUUUGGAUGCAAAUUGUGACGUUUCCGGAGUUUGGGCUAUCUUAACUUUUUUGGUUAAGGGGCUUAAAAUUGACCUUUUUUGCGCAUUUUUAGACGUACAUAAAUUUUUUUUUUUCGUCUAUUUUUUUUAUCCAAAACUCAUUUUAUGCGCUA